UGGGGAAUUUUGGACAAUGGGGGAAACCCUGAUCCAGCCAUUCCGCGUGAGUGAAGAAGGCCUUCGGGUUGUAAAGCUCUUUCAGCUGGAACGAAACGGUACGCUCUAACAUAGCGUGCUAAUGACGGUACCGGCAGAAGAAGCACCGGCUAACUACGUGCCAGCAGCCGCGGUAAUACGUAGGGUGCGAGCGUUAAUCGGAAUUACUGGGCGUAAAGCGUGCGCAGGCGGAUUAUUAAGCAAGACGUGAAAGCCCCGGGCUUAACCUGGGAAUGGCGUUUUGAACUGGUAGUCUAGAGUGUGUCAGAGGGGGGUGGAAUUCCACGUGUAGCAGUGAAAUGCGUAGAUAUGUGGAGGAACACCAAUGGCGAAGGCAGCCCCCUGGGAUAACACUGACGCUCAUGUACGAAAGCGUGGGUAGCAAACAGGAUUAGAUACCCUGGUAGUCCACGCCCUAAACGAUGUCAACUGGUUGUUGGGGGAGUGAAAUCCCUUAGUAACGAAGCUAACGCGUGAAGUUGACCGCCUGGGGAGUACGGUCGCAAGAUUA
rnacentral:rRNA from 1 species